CUUUCAUGGGUGAAUACAAAGUGGGUCUGUUAGUCUAUAAGGUGCCACAGGACUCUGUCACUUCUUUCUGAAAUCAAUGUGAAUUAAGUGCCUAAACACAUUUGAGGAUCUUGGCUUUAAUCCUCAAUGAAGGGGAAGUCCAUGGAAAGCCUGGAACUUAAAAAUAAACAUGGGAAUCAGAGCAAAAAUGACUCUUUAAAGUAGUAUGUGUAGGGGCUAGGAUGGUUUCUCACUCAUAACUAAAAUGUUUUAAAAUGAGAACCUCAGCUGUGUGGUUAAGGCUUGUCUACACAGGUGAGACUUAUCUUUUUAAGGUGGCUGUGUCAUCAUUCACUCUAGCAAAGGAGGUCUGUAGUAGAUCCCCUUUGUGCUUCAGUAGAAGACUACAGGAUCUACUUUAAUAAGCCCUGCUGUACAAUCAUUAAGAUGUAAUUACUAUCCUCUGAUAUCAACAGCAAAAUAAACCCAUCCUGGUGUAUGGAGGGUUGAUAAUAUAUAUGAAAUAAUUAAAAUGCUCAGUAAUUUAGGGUCUCUUGCUGCUUCUAAAGUCUGAGAUUUUUGCAGGUCUGUGGUGUUGCUAUUCUUCCUUCUCUCUCUCUCCUCCCCCACUCCACAUUGCUAACUGGAGCGAGAUAUUCUCUCCAGGUUUUAGUUCCGCAUAGAGAGUCACUAACUUUCUGUGAAAUAGUACAUAUGAACUAAGACCCUAAUUCAGGUCAGGUGUAAUUCCAAUGCCUGGGCACA